rnacentral:misc_RNA from 1 species
AAAACGUGCAAAUUAAGGAAAUGAAAUACAACCAUUUGUUUAUUACAUUACAACACAUAAACAUGGAUCCUCAUGAAUACAUGCCUAUUUUACUUGUUUAAGCUCUAUCCAUGAGAACCCUAACAAAUACUACACACAUGAUAUGACAUCUUGGUUAGUGAAUCAUGGCACAUCAAUUCUUCACAACUUUAGAGCAUUGCUUAUUGAUAAAGUCCUUAACCUCAAGAAUAAGUUGUGUAGCUUCAGGAACCUCAGGGAAAAUGUAGAAAGCAUGCACCAUAGUUGGAUACUCUGAGAGGUGAACAUCUUUGCCAGACCUCUUAAGCCACUCAUAGUACCUCCUUUGCCAAUCUUUAAGGGGAUCAAAACCACCCACGACUACCACCGUUGCUGGAAAUUUGUCCAGCUUUGAUAUGUCAACAGCCCUUGGACCGCUAACAUUAAUAACCUCAUGAUCGCGAUCCAUUCCUUCACCUGGUGGAAUGAACGCGUUCCACAUCCAAUCUGUUUUUCUCACUGAUAUCAAUGGAUCAACG